UGUUAUGGCGGAGCUGGAGGGGGAAGCGUUCGCGCUUGCCAGUCACCUGAGUUACUGGUCGACCAACCCCUUUCAGCUUUGCCACCUAA
rnacentral:antisense_RNA from 1 species